UUUAAUAAAUUUGGAAAUAAAUUAAACAUAUUUACUAUGGUAAUCGUUAUAUGUAUUAUUAGGUUAUAUUUAUAUUUGAUAUAUGCUUAAAAAGCUAUGUAAACAUAAGAUGCGUGCAUUACUGCACGUGCGUAAACGGAACUGCUGAACUAUACGAAUGACGAACAAGGUGUGCUGAUUCGUUAGUUUCAAAAGGAAAAGGUCAAAGAGGACAUAUUCUACGAGGAAUGUUUACAAUAUUGUGUUAACGCCAAUUUAACCAAUUAUUAAUCAGUUCUCUUAGUCAGGAAAAGAAUGAUUGGUUUGUAACAUAUUUUGUUGGAUAUGUAUGAGAAGAUGAAAGCGACAUCUACUCGUUAAUGUGAACAAGUAAAAACGUAAGAAGUCACAGAUGGCUGUCUCAAAUCAACAACCGGUGCAGUGAACGAGCGAAGUGACGCGGUUAUGUACGCAAAACAAUCGCGUCAGACGCGUAAAACAUCGUGAAACAUGUAAGGAGUUGUUAUCGUAAGUGCCAUCGUGUUGAAUUUUACGUUUCUUUUUGUUUUACAAUACGGCCGAUUACUAGUGAAAGCAAAAUUUGGCUCGAUCCGCCGUUGUCUUUACGAAUUGGUUUUAUCGUCGGUGACGUACGGUUUUGGGGCACCGAGGCCAAACACGAAUCGCUGUUCAAGGAUGAGCGCGAACAAUGUGCAAGCACUUUUCGCAUGUUCAAGAUGCUUUUCAAGGCAUCCUUUUGAAGAACUUUCUCCAGGGCAACAAUUGUGUAAGGAAUGCAGAGGUGCAUUUCCUGUGGUGAAAUGUACAUAUUGUAGAUCGGAAUUCCAACAAACGAUAAAGGGAAAUACAAGCACUAUUUGUAAGAAAUGUGAACAAAAUGUGAAAUCUUAUGGUAAACCAUCGGCCUGUGAAUAUUGCAAUACCAUAGCUGCAUUUAUUGGUAGUAAAUGUCAAAGAUGUACAAAUUCUGAGAAGCGUUAUGGGCCACCAGUUACUUGCGAACAAUGCAAACAAAAGUGUGCCUUUGACAGACAAGAUGAAGAUAAGAAGGUUGAUGGAAAAUUAUUAUGUUGGCUGUGCACAUUGUCAUACAAACGAGCAUUGGCAAAAACAAAACAAUCCGAUGCUGAAAGGAGGGCACAUUUGAAAUUAGCACAACAACGAGCAGCAAAGCACAAAGAACAAAAAUUAAAGAGUCAUAAUAAGAGACCACACAGAAUAGAUGUAACGAAGCUACCGCCUCAAUCCGAAGGUGCGGACACAAAUGGUCCAACACCGGUGAAAGCAGCGCGAAUGGUUGGUGUCCAUGAUCCACAUGAUCCCAAUAGUUCGGAUCAUGUAGUCGCCGUUACACAACUUAAAGAAAAGAUAGCUCAUCUUCAGAAACAAAUAUCUAUUAAAGAUGGGCAAUUACUUGCUAAAGAUAGACAAAUUACAGAAUUGAAAGCAAAAAAUUUUACAUCAGAAACAGAGCUGCGUAAUAAAAUGAAAGCGACAGAAAAAGAGUACGAAGCCAAAAUAUCGACGAUGCAACACAAGAUUUCCAGUUUGCUGAAAGAAGUUGCUUCCUUAUCAAAGAGUUCUAAGCGAGGUGAUAGAGUAGCUGCCACAAAAACAGAAGCUGGGACCAACAGUGGAAGCGGAACAGACAGUCCUGUACCUUGAUAAGAUGGCGGGCACACGCGAGCGGAUCCGAGCGGAGCGCGAUUAAAAGUGAAGGCUGUUGACCACGUGGCCGGAGGUCAUAGCGGCGUAGGCAGACGUUACUCUCUUCUCGUCUGGUGGAAGCGAGCCGCGAGGCUGGUCGUGCGGCCUGGGCUGCGCCUCGCCGAGCGGUAUGAAAGGUGAAGAAGGUCUGUCUGUGUGAAAUGAAUCCUUCUGACGAUGAUGAAUCCUCGCGCGAGUGACGACGACGACGACGAGGUGUGCGACGAGAGGUGAAUGGAGGGCUCGGAUAAAGAAAGUUACGUCACUGUUGGCGCGUUGCUGGCGAACCUCGACAGCCUCUCGUCUCCUUCCGUCCCGCCCCGCCCGUCCCGACUCAGGAGCGGCAACACGCACCGCGGAAAGUCGACGGACAAGGAAGGAAGUUGACGGCGGAUAGGAAGAGGAACGGCGUUGGAAACGGAUUCGAAGGAGAAAGGGGUGACGAUUGUCGACCUAAUAAGACCGAGGGGGAUAUUCAGGGACACCGGUACAGAGAGCGGAGAGAAGGAGAGAGGAUGGACGUCACAGGAGGAAAGGAGAAACUACUACCGCGUUGAAGGGAGUAGGGAUGAAGAAAGGAGAGAGAGAGAGAGAGAGAAGAGGGUCGCUCGGUCGAAGACACGAGACACACGGCGACCGCUCGUUACAUAAGUAAGGUAAAGGAUCUCCUCUUCUGCUCUCCUUGAGUCGAUCCACAUCCGCGAUUAUGCCACUUUCCAUCGACCUCGCUUCACCUCGGCUCGCCGUGCAUCGACACCACGUGUGUGCGCGUGUUUGUGUACGUGCAACGGAAGCUCGUGAUUUCCUUUAUGGAUCGAAAUCCAUGAGCUUCCUUGGAAAAGAAAAGGUCGAAUCAGGAUUUCCAGCCAUCGAAAAGAAUCAAUUUUUCUCCUCCUCUCCCUCUAUAAAGAUCGAGGAUGGAAUUGAAAUUUUUUUUCUUAAUAAAAAAUUGGUAAAAAUCAUCGAGACAUCGGUUGAAAAUUAAUUAAUUACUCGGAGGAGGAAAUUAAUCAUUGUUAUCCCUUUGAACUGGAAAAUUUGAAAAUGAAAAGAUUAGAUAUAGUCCGAGGCGAGACUGUCACCGGGAGACAAAAGGAAUUGUGUCAGUUUUUUUCCUCCGGAACACCUGGAGAAGAGGAGGCAGAGAAUUAUGCCAGCCCGUUCUUCAGCCCCCGCAGCAUAUUGUCCGGGAAGCUUGCCGCGGGGGAGAAAAAAGGUUUAUUAAAUUUUUCAUUUUCCUAGAAUCAAAUGAUUUUAAUUAAGUCUUCGAGUCUUAUCUAUAAUUGGUUGUUUCGUUAAUUGCCAAAUACUUCGGUAUAAUAUAUUUGCAUUUCUUUUCUUUCUUUUUUUUUUUUUCAAAGAAUCUUCUGUAUAAACAAGAAGAACAAGACGUCGAAUCGAUAUGAUCCUGAAAUUAAAUUUUUCCGGCCAUAUAGUUGUAAACAGGAAACGGGGUAAUGGAUUACGCCAAUAAGAAAAAUGUAUCGAACAAAACGUAUCAUUCUGUACUAUGUAAAAAAAAGCGUCUUGCUUGGUUCGAUCAA